rnacentral:sRNA from 1 species
ACUUCCUUACACUCUUGCCAGCAUUAGCCACACCCUGGUGUCUCUCAGCCAGUUUAAGCUGGUGUUAAAGUAGACAAGCAGACUGGUUAAGACCACCAAGACUAAAUGAAGUUGUUUGUCACAGACAUCUUAGGAGGAAGAGAAUACAGAUACCAGACAUUUUCUUUACUAAAAUGGACAGUUUUUUUUUCUUUCUUUUUUUCCUUUUAAAAGAUUUUUUAUAUAGAAGAAAUCUGAAAAUUUGGAGGCAGCACCGGCUUUUUUUAAAUGAAGAAUGGUGUAUAUGAACUGAGUCUGUCUGCAUGAUGCAGCUCUGAUUUCUUGCCUCUGCAUCAGCUCCUGCUUCCUGACCUGUUUGAGUUCCAGUCCUGACUUCUUUCAGUGAUGAACAGCAAUGUGGAAAUGUAAGCUGAAUAAACCCUUUCCUCCCCAA